GUGUCAGCCGCCGCGGUAAUACAGAGACUGCAAGCGUUGUUCGGAUUCAUUGGGCGUAAAGGGUGCGUAGGCGGUGAGGUAAGUUGGAUGUGAAAUCUCAGGGCCUAACCCUGAAAGUGCAUCCAAAACUGCCUUGCUUGAGGACUGGAGGGGAGACUGGAAUUCUCGGUGUAGCGGUGAAAUGCGUAGAUAUCGAGAGGAACACCAGUGGCGAAGGCGGGUCUCUAGCCAGUUCCUGACGCUGAGGCACGAAAGCCAGGGUAGCAAACGGGAUUAGAUACCCGCGUAGUCC
rnacentral:rRNA from 1 species